rnacentral:rRNA from 1 species
UACGUAGGGUGCAAGCGUUGCCCGGAUUUAUUGGGCGUAAAGGGCGCGUAGGCGGCUCGGCACGUCCGUUGUGAAAUCGCCCGGCUCAACUGGGCGGGGUCAGCGGAUACGGCCGAGCUUGAGCAAGCUAGGGGGCAAUGGAAUUCCCGGUGUAGUGGUGGAAUGCGUAGAUAUCGGGAGGAACACCAGUGGCGAAGGCGGUUCUCUGGGCCUUACCUGACGCUGAGGCACGAAGGCCAGGGGAGCAAACGGG